GGCAAUGGUUCUAAUUAAAUAACCAUCAUUUGUAUUCUUAUCUCAGAUACCAAAUUGGUCCACCAAUUUAAGAUUAAGUUUGCUUCAGUUUCCUACUACGAAUUACAAUCACAACCAUUUAAUUUGAGUUCAUGAUACACCCUACAAUAAGAAUUGUAGUGAUUCAGUGCGACCACUAUAUAUAUUAAUAAGCCAUACA
rnacentral:lncRNA from 1 species